rnacentral:rRNA from 1 species
CUGCAUGGUUGUCGUCAGCUCGUGCGUGAGGUGUCGGGUUAAGUCCCAUAACGAGCGCAACCCCUAUUGUUAGUUGCCAUCAGGUCAUGCUGGGGACUCUAACAAAACUGCCCGCGUAAGCGUGGAGGAAGGUGGGGAUGACGUCAAAUCAGCACGGCCCUUACGUCCAGGGCUACACACGUGCUACAAUGGCCGGUACAGAGGGCAGCCACUUGGUGACAAGGAGCAAAUCUCAAAAGCCGGUCUCAGUUCGGAUCGGAGUCUGCAACUCGACUCCGUGAAGUUGGAUUCGCUAGUAAUCGUAGAUCAGCAAUGCUACGGUGAAUACGUUCCCGGGCCUU